rnacentral:misc_RNA from 1 species
CCGAGUUUACAACUCCCAAACCCCAUGUGAACUUACCGUUCGUUGCUUCGGCGGGAUCGUCCCGGGUGCGCCCUCGCGGCCAGCCCCGGAUCCGGGCGCCCGCCGGAGGACCACAAACUCUUCUGUUUUUUAGCGGUUUCUUCUGAGUGGCUAUAAGCAAAAAAUGAAUCA